GAAAGGGUCUUAGUCACUGCCUCCCGAAGUUGCUUGAAAGCACUCGGAGAAUUGUGCAGGUGUCAUUUAUCUAUGACCAAUAGGAAGAGCAACCAGUUACUAUGAGUGAAAGGGAGCCAGAAGACUGAUUGGAGGGCCCUAUCUUGUGAGUGGGGCAUCUGUUGGACUUUCCACCUGGUCAUAUACUCUGCAGCUGUUAGAAUGUGCAAGCACUUGGGGACAGCAUGAGCUUGCUGUUGUACACAGGGUAUUUCUAGAAGCAGAAAUAGACUGGGAAGAUGCACAACCAAGGGGUUACAGGCAUCGCCCAUGCUCCUCACCUGUAUUUUGUAAUCAGAAAUAAAUUGCUUUUAAAGAAAUCUGGCGUCUUU
rnacentral:lncRNA from 1 species